rnacentral:rRNA from 1 species
GCAAGGAAUUUUGUGCAAUGGGCGAAAGCCUGACACAGCGACGCCGCGUGAGGGAUGAAGGUCUUCGGAUCGUAAACCUCUUUUCUCAGGGAAGAAUAAUGACGGUACCUGAGGAAUAAGUCUCGGCCAACUACGUGCCAGCAGCAGCGGUAAUACGUAGGAGACGAGCGUUAUCCGGAUUUACUGGGCGUAAAGUGGGUGUAGGCGGUUCUUCAAGUCGAGUGUAAAAUCUCCUGGCUUAACUGGGAGGGACCAUUCGAUACUGUUGAACUAGAGGGCAGCAGAGGGAGGCGGAAUUCCCGGUGUAGUGGUGAAAUGCGUAGAUAUCGGGAGGAACACCAGUGGCGAAGGCGGCCUCCUAGGUUGUUUCUGACGCUGAGGCCCGAAAGCGUGGGGAGCGAACAGGAUUAGAAACCCUAGUAGUCC